AUGGCUCAGGAUGAACGCUAGCUACAGGCUUAACACAUGCAAGUCGAGGGGCAUCAUGAGGUCAGCUUGCUGGCUUGAUGGCGACCGGCGCACGGGUGAGUAACGCGUAUCCAACCUUCCCCUUAGUAGGGCAUAGCCCGGCGAAAGUCGGAUUAAUACCCUAUGUUUUCCAAUGAGGACAUCUGAGCUGGAACAAAGAUUCAUCGCUAAGGGAUGGGGAUGCGUCCGAUUAGGUAGUCGGCGGGGUAACGGCCCACCGAGCCGUCGAUCGGUAGGGUUCUGAGAGGAAGGUCCCCCACACUGGUACUGAGACACGGACCAGACUCCUACGGGAGGCAGCAGUGAGGAAUAUUGGUCAAUGGGCGAGAGCCUGAACCAGCCAAGUAGCGUGCAGGAUGACGGCCCUACGGGUUGUAAACUGCUUUUAUGCGGGAAUAAAGUGGCGUACGUGUACGUUUUUGUAGGUACCGCAUGAAUAAGGACCGGCUAAUUCCGUGCCAGCAGCAGC
rnacentral:rRNA from 1 species